rnacentral:rRNA from 1 species
AUUGAACGCUGGCGGCAGGCCUAACACAUGCAAGUCGAGCGGAUGAACGGAGCUUGCUCCUGGAUUCAGCGGCGGACGGGUGAGUAAUGCCUAGGAAUCUGCCUGGUAGUGGGGGAUAACGUCCGGAAACGGGCGCUAAUACCGCAUACGUCCUGAUGGAGAAAGUGGGGGAUCUUCGGACCUCACGCUAUCAGAUGAGCCUAGGUCGGAUUAGCUAGUUGGUGGGGUAAAGGCCUACCAAGGCGACGAUCCGUAACUGGUCUGAGAGGAUGAUCAGUCACACUGGAACUGAGACACGGUCCAGACUCCUACGGGAGGCAGCAGUGGGGAAUAUUGGACAAUGGGCGAAAGCCUGAUCCAGCCAUGCCGCGUGUGUGAAGAAGGUCUUCGGAUUGUAAAGCACUUUAAGUUGGGAGGAAGGGCAGUAAGUUAAUACCUUGCUGUUUUGACGGUACCAACAGAAUAAGCACCGGCUAACUUCGUG